AUGGCACGCAGCUGUGCUGUCUGCCUACAAGGACCUGGCCUGGAGGUGCCCUGCUGCCGAGCAGACCUGUCUUUUGGAAGGUGUGGAGGUUGGCAGCAUGUUGGUUUCCUUUGCAAGAGAUGGGUGAGCUAUAAUUUCAGGGUGUGUUUCAGGGAGUCUUCAGUGUUAGACCUGGCGUAUCCUGGUGGCUGCGAGGCCGAGGGAGGGUGCCAGGGCCCUGAGGUGGGGUGCGAGGCAUUUAACCCGCUGUACUGGUUGUUUUUUGCUUCCAAUCCGAACUGCUGGAAGGUAAUUGAAUUCACAUGGAUUUUGGCCUCAUGUCCUAUAGGAAACCACAAGUACAAGGUGCUGAAAAAUCCCCUGUAA
rnacentral:lncRNA from 1 species